AUACGGAGGGGGCUAGCGUUGUUCGGAAUUACUGGGCGUAAAGCGCGCGUAGGCGGAUUGAUCAGUCAGGGGUGAAAUCCCGAGGCUUAACCUCGGAACUGCCUUUGAUACUGUCAGUCUUGAGUUCGAGAGAGGUGAGUGGAAUUCCUAGUGUAGAGGUGAAAUUCGUAGAUAUUAGGAAGAACACCAGUGGCGAAGGCGGCUCACUGGCUCGAUACUGACGCUGAGGUGCGAAAGCGUGGGGAGCAAACAGGAUUAGAAACCCGAGUAGUCC
rnacentral:rRNA from 1 species